AUUGAACGCUGGCGGCAGGCCUAACACAUGCAAGUCGAACGGUAGCACAGAGAGCUUGCUCUCGGGUGACGAGUGGCGGACGGGUGGGUAAUGUCUGGGAAACUGCCCGAUGGAGGGGGAUAACUACUGGAAACGGUAGCUAAUACCGCAUAACGUCUACGGACCAAAGUGGGGGACCUUCGGGCCUCACACCAUCGGAUGUGCCCAGAUGGGAUUAGCUAGUAGGUGGGGUAAUGGCUCACCUAGGCGACGAUCCCUAGCUGGUCUGAGAGGAUGACCAGCCACAGUGGAACUGAGACACGGUCCAGACUCCUACGGGAGGCAGCAGUGGGGAAUAUUGCACAAUGGGCGCAAGCCUGAUGCAGCCAUGCCGCGUGUAUGAAGAAGGCCUUCGGGUUGUAAAGUACUUUCAGCGGGGAGGAAGGGUUGCUGGUUAAUAACCAGCGACAUUGACGUUACCCGCAGAAGAAGCACCGGCUAACUCCGUGCCAGCCGCCGCGGUAA
rnacentral:rRNA from 1 species